rnacentral:rRNA from 1 species
CCUACGGGAGGCUGCAGUGAGGAAUAUUGGUCAAUGGACGAGAGUCUGAACCAGCCAAGUAGCGUGAAGGAUGACUGCCCUAUGGGUUGUAAACUUCUUUUAUAUGGGAAUAAAAUGUUCCACGUGUGGGAUUUUGUAUGUACCAUAUGAAUAAGGAUCGGCUAACUCCGUGCCAGCAGCCGCGGUAAUACGGAGGAUCCGAGCGUUAUCCGGAUUUAUUGGGUUUAAAGGGAGCGUAGGUGGAUUGUUAAGUCAGUUGUGAAAGUUUGCGGCUCAACCGUAAAAUUGCAGUUGAAACUGGCAGUCUUGAGGACAGUAGAGGUGGGCGGAAUUCGUGGUGUAGCGGUGAAAUGCUUAGAUAUCACGAAGAACUCCGAUUGCGAAGGCAGUUCACUGGACUGCAACUGACACUGAGGCUCGAAAGUGUGGGUAUCAAACAGGAUUAGAUACCCUAGUAGUC